GAUGAACGCUGGCGGCGUGCCUAAUACAUGCAAGUCGAGCGGACAGAUGAGGAGCUUGCUCCUCUGACGUUAGCGGCGGACGGGUGAGUAACACGUGGAUAACCUACCUAUAAGACUGGGAUAACUUCGGGAAACCGGAGCUAAUACCGGAUAAUAUAUUGAACCGCAUGGUUCAAUAGUGAAAGACGGUUUUGCUGUCACUUAUAGAUGGAUCCGCGCCGCAUUAGCUAGUUGGUAAGGUAACGGCUUACCAAGGCGACGAUGCGUAGCCGACCUGAGAGGGUGACCCGCCACACUGGAACUGAGACACGGUCCAGACUCCUACGGGAGGCAGCAGUGGGGAAUCUUCCGCAAUGGGCGAAAGCCUGACGGAGCAACGCCGCGUGAGUGAUGAAGGCCUUCGGAUCGUAAAACUCUGUUAUUAGGGAAGAACAAAUGUGUAAGUAACCAUGCACGUAUUGACGGUACCUAAUCAGAAAGCCACGGCUAACUACGUG
rnacentral:rRNA from 1 species